AACCAAUACAAGUUCUCCUUCUGCUCCGCCGUGUUUUUCGGCGUGACCCUCGACACCAAAGACUGCGUGAAGCGCAAGGACUUCACCACGAGCACCCUGCCUGACACUGUACCUCUCCUGGGCCAGCAGUUCUCCCUGGACGAGCAGUGCGGCUUCUUCAACGUUCUUUUGUGCAGGGAGGAGGUCGUAGCCCUGGAGGGGUCCUGGGACCGCGUGUGCUCCAAUCUCAAGUGUGGGAAUGAACAAUGCGGCACAACGUUCGCCCUGGAGUACAGUUCCUGCGGUAGGGGUCGCUGGUGUGAGCGGGGUCAGUGUGUGGACAACCCUGAUGCACCGGACGUGCCUGACGACUGCCCGGCGGGGGACAACCCUAAUGCCGGAUGUGACGUCACAAAGUGCUCAGACUAUGAGGACAACAAACGAUUUGUCCAGUGUUGUAUAACGUGUGGGCCUGUAAGAACGGAGAAGUUCGUUUUAGCAGGAAGCGUGUAGGUUGAAAAAUGUAGUCAUUGUAAUCGUUAAAUUACUCUUCAUUUAGUUCAUGAUAUUAUACAAUUAUUCUAGAGUGAG